AGCUUUGCGCAGUGGCAGUAACAUCAGCUGAUGAGGUUCAUCCCGAGGGCGUGUUUGAUUGCUAGUUGAAAACUAUACCCAAUACCCCUGCCCUGUGGACGUAUAAACCGUUCGCUGUGGCAAUUUCUGAUGGGUUCCCCGGAAC
rnacentral:snRNA from 1 species